UACGGAGGGAGCUAGCGUUGUUCGGAAUUACUGGGCGUAAAGCGCACGUAGGCGGCUAUUCAAGUCAGAGGUGAAAGCCCGGGGCUCAACCCCGGAACUGCCUUUGAAACUAGGUAGCUAGAAUCUUGGAGAGGUCAGUGGAAUUCCGAGUGUAGAGGUGAAAUUCGUAGAUAUUCGGAAGAACACCAGUGGCGAAGGCGACUGACUGGACAAGUAUUGACGCUGAGGUGCGAAAGCGUGGGGAGUAAACAGG
rnacentral:rRNA from 1 species